rnacentral:rRNA from 1 species
AUUGAACGCUGGCGGCAGGCCUAACACAUGCAAGUCGAACGAGUGGCGGACGGGUGAGUAAUGUCUGGGAAACUGCCCGAUGGAGGGGGAUAACUACUGGAAACGGUAGCUAAUACCGCAUACCAUCGGAUGUGCCCAGAUGGGAUUAGCUCGUAGGGGGGGUAACGGCUCACCUAGGCGAAGAUCCCUAGCUGGUCUGAGAGGAUGCCCGGCCACACUGGAACUGAGACACGUUCCAGACGCCUACGGGAGGCAGCGGUGGGGAUUAUUGCACAAUGGGCGCAAGCCUGAUGCAGCCAUGCCGCGUGUAUGAAGAAGGCCUUCGGGUUGUAAAGUACUUUCAGCGAGGAGGCGUUACUCGCAGAAGAAGCACCGGCUAACUCCGUGCCAGCAGCCGCGGUAAUAC